rnacentral:rRNA from 1 species
UACGAAGGGGGCUAGCGUUGCUCGGAAUCACUGGGCGUAAAGCGCACGUAGGCGGAUCUUUAAGUCAGGGGUGAAAUCCUGGAGCUCAACCCCAGAACUGCCUUUGAUACUGGGGAUCUCGAGUCCGGAAGAGGUGAGUGGAACUCCGAGUGUAGAGGUGAAAUUCGUAGAUAUUCGGAAGAACACCAGUGGCGAAGGCGGCUCACUGGUCCGGUACUGACGCUGGGGUGCGAAAGCGUGGGGAGCAAACAGG